rnacentral:rRNA from 1 species
AUUGAACGCUGGCGGCAUGCUUUACACAUGCAAGUCGGACGGCAGCACAGAGAAGCUUGCUUCUUGGUGGCGAGUGGCGAACGGGUGAGUAAUAUAUCGGAACGUACCGAGUAAUGGGGGAUAACUAAUCGAAAGAUUAGCUAAUACCGCAUAUUCUCUGAGGAGGAAAGCAGGGGACCUUCGGGCCUUGCGUUAUUCGAGCGGCCGAUAUCUGAUUAGCUAGUUGGUGGGGUAAAGGCCUACCAAGGCGACGAUCAGUAGCGGGUCUGAAAGGAUGAUCCGCCACACUGGGACUGAGACACGGCCCAGACUCCUACGGGAGGCAGCAGUGGGGAAUUUUGGACAAUGGGCGCAAGCCUGAUCCAGCCAUGCCGCGUGUCUGAAGAAGGCCUUCGGGUUGUAAAGGACUUUUGUCAGGGAAGAAAAGGCUGUUGCUAAUACCGACAGCUGAUGACGGUACCUGAAGAAUAAGCACCGGCUAACUACGUG